GCUUAGAUAGUUUAAGUUAAAACAUUAAUUUGUGGUAUUAAAAAUAUAUAUAUAAUAUUCUAGGUU
rnacentral:tRNA from 1 species